GAACUGAAGAGUUUGAUCAUGGCUCAGAUUGAACGCUGGCGGCAGGCCUAACACAUGCAAGUCGAGCGGUAGAGAGAAGCUUGCUUCUCUUGAGAGCGGCGGACGGGUGAGUAAUGCCUAGGAAUCUGCCUGGUAGUGGGGGAUAACGUUCGGAAACGGACGCUAAUACCGCAUACGUCCUACGGGAGAAAGCAGGGGACCUUCGGGCCUUGCGCUAUCCGAUGAGCCUAGGUCGGAUGAGCUAGUUGGUGAGGUAAUGGCUCACCAAGGCGACGCUCCGUAACUGGGCGGAGAGGAUGAUCACUCACACUGGCACUGAGA
rnacentral:rRNA from 1 species